AUCCAGUUGACAAGUCCCAAAUAGGACGUAACGCACGUCCUGGAU
rnacentral:hammerhead_ribozyme from 1 species